rnacentral:rRNA from 1 species
CCUACGGGGGCUGCAGUGGGGAAUCAUGGUCAAUGGGCGAAAGCCUGAACCUGCGACGCCGCGUGAGUGAUGAAGGUCGUAAGAUCGUAAAACUCUUUUCAGGGAUCUUAAAGCCUGUCUGUCAACAACAGGCAGGUCUGACUCUCCCUGGAAGAAGCCCCAGCCAACUACGUGCCAGCAGCUGCGGUAAUACGUAGGGGGCGAGCGUUAUUCGGAAUUACUGGGUGUAAAGGGUAUGUAGGCGGCCCUUCAAGUCGCGUGUCAAAGUCCAGUGCUAAACGCUGGGUGGGCACGCGAUACUGACGGGCUGGAGGGCUGGAGAGGUGAGCGGAAUUCCCGGUGUAGGGGUAAAAUACGUAGAGAUCGGGAGGAACACCAGCGGCGCAGGCGGCUCACUAGACAGUUUCUGACGCUAAGAUACGAAAGCGUGGGGAGCAAACA